rnacentral:rRNA from 1 species
AUUGAACGCUGGCGGAAUGCUUUACACAUGCAAGUCGAACGGCAGCACGGGGCAACCUGGUGGCGAGUGGCGAACGGGUGAGUAAUACAUCGGAACGUGCCCAAUCGUGGGGAUAACGUAGCGAAAGUUACGCUAAUACCGCAUACGAUCUACGGAUGAAAGCGGGGGAUCGCAAGACCUCGCGCGAAUGGAGCGGCCGAUGUCAGAUUAGGUAGUUGGUGGGGUAAAGGCUCACCAAGCCGACGAUCUGUAGCUGGUCUGAGAGGACGACCAGCCACACUGGGACUGAGACACGGCCCAGACUCCUACGGGAGGCAGCAGUGGGGAAUUUUGGACAAUGGGCGCAAGCCUGAUCCAGCCAUUCCGCGUGCAGGAUGAAGGCC